rnacentral:rRNA from 1 species
UUUAUGGAGAGUUUGAUCCUGGCUCAGGAUGAACGCUGGCGGCGUGCCUAAUACAUGCAAGUCGAGCGAACGGACGAGAAGCUUGCUUCUCUGAUGUUAGCGGCGGACGGGUGAGUAACACGUGGAUAACCUACCUAUAAGACUGGGAUAACUUCGGGAAACCGGAGCUAAUACCGGAUAAUAUUUUGAACCGCAUGGUUCAAAAGUGAAAGACGGUCUUGCUGUCACUUAUAGAUGGAUCCGCGCUGCAUUAGCUAGUUGGUAAGGUAACGGCUUACCAAGGCAACGAUGCAUAGCCGACCUGAGAGGGUGAUCGGCCACACUGGAACUGAGACACGGUCCAGACUCCUACGGGAGGCAGCAGUAGGGAAUCUUCCGCAAUGGGCGAAAGCCUGACGGAGCAACGCCGCGUGAGUGAUGAAGGUCUUCGGAUCGUAAAACUCUGUUAUUAGGGAAGAACAUAUGUGUAAGUAACUGUGCACAUCUUGACGGUACCUAAUCAGAAAGCCACGGCUAACUACGUGCCAGCAGCCGCGGUAAUACGUAGGUGGCAAGCGUUAUCCGGAAUUAUUGGGCGUAAAGCGCGCGUAGGCGGUUUUUUAAGUCUGAUGUGAAAGCCCACGGCUCAACCGUGGAGGGUCAUUGGAAACUGGAAAACUUGAGUGCAGAAGAGG